ensembl:snoRNA
UGCAGUCAGGUCAAAUUCAACUUCCAUCCGGCCAUGGUGGGGGCUGGCCCAGAUGACUGCUAAAGCAAGCUUGCCGCUCAUGGGCCCUGGGUCUCUUACCUUGGGGCCUGGGGAUAAAUUUGGCUGCAGAUAUUG